GUAAGGUCUUCAUUCCAGCUGACUGCGGGUUAAUGGCAUCUCUUCAGCUCAGAUACUGGCUACAGCUAAGGCCACAUAGUUCAAUGAAAUGAAACUAAAAGCAUCUACUUCUGUAGCGGUCAUAGAAUGAGGCAGUUUUUCCCUGCAACGAGAACAUAAAGGCAAUCAUGGGAAGAACUUCUAAAUGCGAAAGUUCAGCUAGUAAGUGGAAAACAAGAGAUCCAGCAACAAACUUCUAACCAUGAAAUGUGAUUCAAUAACACAAUGCAUACAUUCACAUAUGAUGAUAAGAAAGUUGAAACAUGAAUUCAAAAAAUUCAAAACUCUCUCCACGUUCCUCGAUUAAAUUUGCCUCAUAAUUCUCACUGAUCCAGCAAAAAUAACAAAUAUUUGAUCACUAACGCAUUUCCCAUACCCAAAUCCUCGAGAAUUAACAAGUUGCAUUAAUUGGAAUCUUCGUUAUUCAAUUUUCAGGUCCAAGGACUGUGUUUCAAAAACAAAAGUUAAUCCCGUCUUAUUAUCAUUGUCCAACAUUAGUCCAAAAUUCAACAUCAAUUAUCUAACUGUUACAGUGACGGAUUUGGUUUCCGAAUAAAUUAGUUCAACAUAAUUUCUUUCCGCCUAUGCGGACAAACUUAAUUUUGAAAUAGAUAAAAUGUGAAGUCCAUGUUUUUCAAUGGCAUGAGAUAGUGAAGAUGGCCUUGAAACAACCAUAGCCACCUUCAAAACCACAAAUGGGCAACGCUUAAAUAUUUAAGAGCUACAGAAACGAAAAAUCAAACAGAUCUCAGUCCACUAUCCAAAGUAUUACUACUCAGAGUCCUAUACUGGCCUCAGAAUAAAAAUAUUCUAAAAAUAGUUAAAAAAUGAUAGAGUUGACAACACUUUAAUUUAUUAAACAAAUAGUUUAAUGCUCCCCACUAAACCAAAUCCAACACAGACUUUUAAAAAAAUAAAUUUAAAACGUUUGAAAACAAAUAAAUUCAUUUUUUUCUAUAAAAUCAAAAUAGAUCGACUUUCGAUGCUCGUGUGGAAAUAAACUAAAAAAGAAAAUCGAUAUUACCUUGAACCGAAAUUCUAAAUCUCCAAAAUGCCAAAUUUAAUUUCGACGAAUUUAGGGAUCACACCUCUUCACUAUAGCUCAGAUUUAAGAAAUAUCAACA
rnacentral:misc_RNA from 1 species